UAAAUACCAUGCUAACAAAUUGAAGGUAAAAACUAUAUGUAUAUAACAAAUUAAAGAGUCCAUGACAUAGGCAAAAAAUACAAGACGAGCACUAGGCGCCGGCGCACCGGCCCAAAUUUGGGCCGGUCCGCUGCCAAACGUCCGAUACAACCUUUCGUCACCGUCAGAUUGCUUUCUCUUAAAAAGUCAAACACGUACGAAGAAAAAAAAAGAAAAGGCAGUCGUGCGCACACACUGGAUCUCGCACGCUCGUCGGCCACCUGCGCUUGUCGUCGGCUUCCCAUGCUUGCUUGCCACCUGUGCCACCACGCCCGCCACCCGUGCUCGCCGACCGCUCGUGCGUCCACUCGCCAUGGCCGCCCCCGCUCUCCAUGGCUGCAGCCUGCAGUUCGAACACGGAUAGGUUACAGCACGCAGUCACCAUGGUUUGCAGUAUCCCCCGGCGUUCCCUCAUCUCUGACUCGCCGCCAUUGUCGAUUUGCCCGCCAUGUCCAGCAAAAAUAAUCUAAGCAACAAAACCUGGUGGUGCUAGGUUGAAGCAACAAAAAAUAUCGGUUCUAGCACAACUAAAUGAUGGUUCCAGCAAAAAUUCUCAUCAGCAGAAAACCAUGGCUCGCAGCCAACAGCGGUAGUAGCAAAAUUUUGUGUUGAUUCCAGCAAAGCCAAAAACAGUGGAAGCAAAAAUGCAUAACUGGGCCCUUUGUGCAAGGAUGUUCUAGCAAAAAUUGAGACAUCGGUGGUAGCAAAAAUUGAAGCUGCUUCCAGCAAAUCAAAACACCAUUUGUAGCAAAAAUGCAAAAUUGGGCGUUCUUCCAGCAAUAGCGAAAGCGGCAGUUGUAGCAAGAAUUAGAGCUGGUUCCAGCAAAUCAAAACACCAUUUGUAGCAAAAAUGCAAAAAUAGGCGUUCUCCAGCAAAAGCGAAAUCGGCGGCUGUAGCAAAAAUUGAAGCUGGUUCCAGCAAGUCAAAACACUAUUUGUAGCAAAAAUGUAAAAUUCCAGCAAAAUCAAAAGCGGCACUUGUAGCAAAAAAUUGUAGUUGAUUCCAGCAAAUCAAAACACCUGUUGUAGCAAAUUGCAAAAAAUUGACGCAGGAACUAGCGAAACCAAAGCGUCGAUGGUAGCAAAAAUUAGUGUUUGUUCCAGCAAACCAAAAAACGGUGGUAGCAAAAAUGUAAAAAUGGUCCAGCAUAAAAAAUACCUUCGCUUCCGGCAUCGCCAUGUUCCUAGCUCGGCCCGCAAGCAAUUGCAGCACGUCAUGAGCAAGUUCCAGCACCACCAUGAGCCGGGCCCAGGCAAUGGGUGUCGUCGAAGUCGAACCACCGGUGGGCUCUCCUGUCCACAGCGCCAGUGGCUUCUCCCGUCCACAACACCGGUCGACACACCGGUGCUGAACCUUCGCAGCAGUUGCCGUUCGACGGUCGUCGCAGCUCGCCAGCUUGUGGGAGUGCUGGCAGCUUGAGGUAGAAGGAGGGGGAGAGGUAGAGAACGCCAAUGGUGAGGGAGGCGGAAGAAGGAGAGGGAGAGAUGGGCAGCGCCGAUGGGAGGAGAGGUGGAAGAAGGAGAGGAAGAGGUGGGUAGCGCAGCGGGGAAUUGUGACCAGAAAACUCAACGGAGGAAGAAGAUAAGGAGGAGGAAGAAGAUAAGGAGGACAGAGCGGUGCG
rnacentral:lncRNA from 1 species